rnacentral:rRNA from 1 species
UAAGGAAUAUUGGUCAAUGGACGCAAGUCUGAACCAGCCAUGCCGCGUGCAGGAAGACGGCCCUAUGGGUUGUAAACUGCUUUUGUACGGGAAAAAACCCCGGGUUUCGGACCUGGACUGAUGGUACUGUAUGAAUAAGCAUCGGCUAACUCCGUGCCAGCAGCCGCGGUAAUACGGAGGAUGCAAGCGUUAUCCGGAUUUACUGGGUGUAAAGGGUGCUCAGGCGGGUUUGUAAGUCAGAGGUGAAACUCCGAAGCUUAACUUCGGAACUGCCUUUGAUACUGCAUCCCUAGAGUUUGAGAGAGGCGAGUGGAAUAUCUGGUGUAGCAGUGAAAUGCGUAGAUAUCAGAUAGAACACCAAUGGCGAAGGCAGCUCGCUGGCUCAAUACUGACGCUAAAGCACGAAAGUGUGGGUAGCAAACA